UCACCAGCUGUCUCCUUGAGGCUCCGAUGGGUCAGAAGGCUCAGCUGUGAGUGGAGGGCACGGACCCCCACCAUCCCUUCCACCUCUCAAGUGCCUCAGAGGAUCAGCAUUCUUCCCUGUACUCACCAAGAGACAGUAUCUACUCAGGGAUUAUCAGCCCAAGAAGAGAUACUGUGCUCCCUGCCCAAGCUGAAGAUACCUGCUUCCGGGAGAGAGACAUACACAUGGAGGCAUUUGCAGUAGAUGUCACAUGACUUGGUUGUUUCUGAGGGAUACAGAGGAAGGAAGACUCAUGAGAAGGAGAAAUGCAGAAAGGAGAAGACUGGCCCUGUGUCAAGCUCUACACCAGGACCAGGAUGCCUGAGGGUCUGUGAUAGCAUUCUGCAUGCUUGAAAUUAUAUGUAAUAAAGUGUUUCAAAUAUGC
rnacentral:lncRNA from 1 species